rnacentral:ncRNA from 1 species
CCUGUGUGAAUCUGGCGGGACCACCCGUCAAGCCUAAAUAUUCCCUGGUGACCGAUAGCGGAUAGUACCGUGAGGGAAUGGUGAAAAGUACCGCGGGAGCGGAGUGAAAGAGUACCUGAAACCGUGUGCCUACAAGCCGUGGGAGCGUCGCCGUGUGUGCUUGCACAUGCGGUCGUGACUGCGUGCCUUUUGAAGAAUGAGCCUGCGAGUUUGCGGCAUGUUGCGAGGUUAACCCGUGUGGGGGAGCCGUAGCGAAAGCGAGUCCGAAGAGGGCGUGGAGUAGCGUGUUCAAGACCCGAAGCGGAGUGAUCUAGCCAUGGGCAGGGUGAAGCGGAGGUAAGACUUCGUGGAGGCCCGAACCCACCAGGGUUGAAAACCUGGGGGAUGACCUGUGGUUAGGGGUGAAAGGCCAAUCAAACUCCGUGAUAGCUGGUUCUCCCCGAAAUGCAUUUAGGUGCAGCGUCGUGUGUUUCUUGCCGGAGGUAGAGCACUGGAUAGGCGAUGGGCCCUACCGGGUUACUGACCUUAGCCAAACUCCGAAUGCCGGUAAGUGAGAGCGCGGCAGUGAGACUGUGGGGGAUAAGCUCCAUGGUCGAGAGGG